rnacentral:rRNA from 1 species
AUGGCGACCGGCAAACGGGUGCGGAACACGUACGCAACCUUCCUUUAACUGGAGAAUAGCCCGGGAAACCCGGAUUAAUACUCCGUAACAUUAUGAAGUGGCAUCAUUUUAUAAUUAUAGCUCCGGCGGUUAAAGAUGGGCGUGCGCCUGAUUAGGUAGUUGGCGGGUAACGGCCCACCAAGCCUACGAUCAGUAACUGGUGUGAGAACACGACCAGUCACACGGGCACUGAGACACGGGCCCG